CCUCCCGGGGUGGAUUCGGCCCAUAUGUCUUCAGGGACUUCCUCCUCGCUGGAGAUCCACCGGUAAUCCCUUAGGCCUAUCCAGGGUUGAGGACCUGGAAAGGAGGUCGCAUUUAGGAGUGGCCGAGGAAGAGAUGUGACGCGAUCCUGAGAAGUAUGCAGGGCACCGCUCACUCCUCACCGUUACACGGACCCUCUCAGCAGGAGACAUGCAUGUCAUUCCAGUUUCUUGAACCUCGUCGCCUUGUACUACUAGCAAAGUACUCAUCAUUGGUUCUCUGGUCUUGGAAUACUGACCAACUAUAAGCCCUUACAGUAAUGGUCAACUUAAGUUGUAGUGCCUAUGUUAAGUGAUUUAAAGCUUUAAGUUGGUUUAAAGUGUUUUGUGAUAUCAACUUGAACUUUAUA